rnacentral:rRNA from 1 species
GCAAGUCGAACGAGAUCUUCGGAUCUAGUGGCGCACGGGUGCGUAACGCGUGGGGAUCUACCAUAGGGUGCGGAAUAACUCAGAGAAAUUUGAGCUAAUACCGCAUAAUGUCUUCGGACCAAAGAUUUAUCGCCCUUUGAUGAACCCGCGUAAGAUUAGCUUGUUGGUGAGGUAAAGGCUCACCAAGGCGACGAUCUUUAGCUGGUCUGAGAGGAUGAUCAGCCACACUGGGACUGAGACACGGCCCAGACUCCUACGGGAGGCAGCAGUGGGGAAUAUUGGACAAUGGGCGAAAGCCUGAUCCAGCAAUGCCGCGUGAGUGAUGAAGGCCUUAGGGUUGUAAAGCUCUUUUACCAGGGAUGAUAAUG